rnacentral:rRNA from 1 species
UACGUAGGGAGCAAGCGUUGUUCGGAUUUACUGGGCGUAAAGCGCACGUAGGCGGCUUUGUAAGUUAGAGGUGAAAGCCCAGGGCUUAACCCUGGAAUUGCCUUUAAGACUGCAUCGCUAGAAUCGUGGAGAGGUAAGUGGAAUUCCGAGUGUAGAGGUGAAAUUCGUAGAUAUUCGGAAGAACACCAGUGGCGAAGGCGACUUACUGGACACGUAUUGACGCUGAGGUGCGAAAGCGUGGGGAGCAAACAGG